UGACAAAAUUCAACGGCCACGGUAUCCUGACCGCGCGAAGGUAGCAUAAUAACUCGUUCUUUAAAUGGGGACUUGUAUCAACGGCAUCACGAGGGUUACACUGUCUCCUUUUUCUAAUCAGUGAAACUAAUCUCCCCGUGAAGAAGCGAGGAUAUCCAUAUAAGACGAGAAGACCCCAUGGAGCUUCAAACCCAAUUACACCCCCAACUUCCAUAACUACUGAACUUAAGGGGACCCUGUACAAUUGGUUUUAGGUUGGGGCGACCACGGAGUAUAACAAAACCUCCACAAUGAACGGAACUAAUUCCUUAUAUAAGAAAUACACCUCUAAUAAUUAAAAUAUUAACAUAAAAUGAUCCACUUUUUGAUCAAUGAACCAAGUUACCCUGGGGAUAACAGCGCAAUCCAUUUCAAGAGCCCCUAUCGACAAAUGGGUUUACGACCUCGAUGUUGGAUCAGGGUAUCCUAGUGGUGUAGCAGCUACUAACGGUUCGUUUGUUCAACGAUUAAAACCCUAC
rnacentral:rRNA from 1 species